rnacentral:rRNA from 1 species
AUUCGCGGCCUAUCAGCUUGUUGGUGAGGUAACGGCUCACCAAGGCAUCGACGGGUAGCUGGUCUGAGAGGACGAUCAGCCACACUGGGACUGAGACACGGCCCAGACUCCUACGGGAGGCAGCAGCAGGGAAUUUUGCACAAUGAGCGAAAGCUUGAUGCAGCGACGCCGCGUGCGGGAUGACGGCCUUCGGGUUGUAAACCGCUUUCAGGAGGGACGAAGCGAAAGUGACGGUACCUCCAGAAGAAGCCCCGGCCAACUACGUGCCAGCAGCCGCGGUGAUACGUAGGGGGCGAACGUUGUCCGGAUUUAUUGGGCGUAAAGAGCUCGUAGGCGGCUCAGCAAGUCGGCCGUGAAAACCCGGAGCUCAACUCCGGGACGCCGGUCGAUACUGCUGUGGCUUGGGUUCGGUAGAGGAGAGUGGAAUUCCCGGUGUAGCGGUGAAAUGCGCAGAUAUCGGGAGGAACACCAGUAGCGAAGGCGGCUCUCUGGGCCGACACCGACGCUGAGGAGCGAAAGCUAGGGGAGCAAACAGGAUUAGAGACCCUGGUAGUCCUAGCCGUAAACGUUGGGUACUAGGUGUGGCGGAGUCAUUGACAUCUGCCGUGCCGUAGCUAACGCAUUAAGUACCCCGCCUGGGGAGUACGGAAUCGUCGAACCCGCCAGGCC